rnacentral:misc_RNA from 1 species
AAGUCGUAACAAGGUUUCCGUAGGUGAACCUGCGGAAGGAUCAUUACCGAGAGGGGGAUUUGCGUCCCCCGGGGAUCGCUUCGGCGCCCAACUCUUCAACCCUGUGUCUACCAACCUUUGUUGCUUUGGCGAGCGCCGGGGCGCAAGCUUCGGCCCUGACCUCGGUCAGCGAGCCCUCGCCGGAGGCCCAUUACAAUUCUGUUUCAGUGGAGUCCGAGCAUACAAACGAAUCAAUCAAA